UUUGGGGUGGUGGUGGAACGGGUGUGAAUCAUUGUUGAAAUAAAAAUCCUCGCCCCCGCCAUUAUCAUCGGAACUGUGGCUUCACCAUUUUCGAUUCUAGCCCUCGCAAACCUCGUCUCUCCUCCGUGAAGAGUCUCCAUCAUCUCUUGCUGUCAAACACAAUCUGGGUCGAUAUCGUGGCUUAGCUUCACCAUUUCCAAUACAAUGUUGCGUCAGAUUGGUUGCUUGGUUGUAUCUCCUCCAAACAAUAAUGAAGCCAUAGCCACCAUCUCCAUUUACUUCAUCCCCUGUUUUGCUGUCUCUUUUUCUUCGGCUUCACCACUUCUGCUUAGCAGGGAUAUGAUUUGAAAUAAAUGCAUGUGUGAGCAAGUAGAGGCACUACAAUAUGAGACUUGAGAGGGAGCAUACAUUUGUGUAUGUCCAAACAGUAUGUUUUAUGCUCUAUCCUAAACUUUGGAGGCUUUAAACUGCUGGCAAUAGGGAUGCAACUAUAGCCCUUCGAGCAAUAAUGUUUUAUAGCCUGAUAUCUUUGCUUAAAUCAUCAUUUUCAACGUGCAGUUGGGACUCUAAAUCCAAUUGAAACUGUUGAAUUGAAGCUGCUGUUCAAGGUGGUAAAAUUGUGUUUUUAUGAAACAGUGCAAGUGUGUUUUUUGUGGGUAAAAAUGUCUUCUAACUUCUUAAGUUGCUUGUGAUUCAUUUGAAUAUUUCUACAUGUUUCCUGUCAUGAAAAAUAAUAAUUGUUUCUGAAAAACUUUGAUGGUAGUUGCCACCAUCAAUGAAGCAUUCUCUAGUUAGAUGAAUUUUGCUUUUUUUUUUUUUCCUUUUUGAACUGAGCAGUAAGGCUGUGUGAUUGCUAGCUUUGGGAGUGGAAUUAGAUCCAUAGAUUUUUAUAAAAUUAAAAUAGAAAUGUAAGCAAAAAUAUUAUUGUUAGCAA